UUUAGUUCCCCUCGAUACAACUUUGUUCAGAUGGCGGUGCGAUGGACGCACGACAUCGAUGGGAAUUCUCGACUACACGUGGCGGAAUUACGUACUUAAUAUCACGUCGCGCAGACUGGGAGCGUCACAUCACUCUCAGGAUCACAGCAGUGAUCUUCGAAAUUCAUCUCGCGUGACGACGGAUCCUCUUUCUUCGCGUAUAAGCUCGACGUAGCCCGACUGUAGUUGUGUGUAUCCUAAACACAAAUUCAACGAAACCAAAUCCGCGCAUUUGGAGAGUUAUGGUCAUCCUUCGCGAUUAUCAAGUUCGUGUCUUGUUGCAAUAUUCGAGGUGCAGAUAAAGGAAAUUUAGUUAUAAAAAAAAUCACGGUGGAUAAGAAUUAGAAAGAGAUUGUGAAACGCGAUCGAUCGUAUGUCAAACGUCUUCAAAAAUCAUAUCUGUCCCUCGUAUUCGCAAACGCAACGUGGAUAUAUUUUCAUCGAAGAAGAAUAUGCAAUAUAGAGCAGAUACCGAAAACGAUAUCGAUCUCCUUCGACUAGAAAGAAAGGAACGGAACGAAACGUUUCUCCAACCAUCCAAAGUACAUUUGACGAAGCCGAGAUUGUUGGUACCCGGUGUGCGCUCGUCGGCCACAGAUUGUGCACGUUCCACACGAGAUUCAUUCACAUGACCAACCUCUAAGCUGCAGAGAAAGGUUCAGUUGGAUACAAUCGUUCAUAUCGACCGGCACGAUUGACCAAUCAAAGAGUUUUAUGUUCGACUGGCCAAUAAACAAUGUGUCCAAUUGAAUGCCACUCGAAGCCGCGAACUGAUCGGAUAUCGUUUAUAACGCAACUGAACGUGGCGCGGUAGUUGGAUGAAGCUCGAAAUCCCACGAACAGCUGGCCUCGAAGAUUCUCCGUAUAACAUCAGUAAGAAGUGACCGUACUUGUCAUUCAGCCCUCGAAUAAACUUCUUAUUAAGUCUCGAUAAACAAAGUUUUUUUUUUCCCUUUUUUUUAUGACUCACGUCUCCUCGCCAACUAUGUCGCAAUGUAUAUGUGUUAAUUAUACCGUCGAUAGGUGAGCAUGUGUAAUAGAGGUGCUAUUAACGGUAAUGUAUCAUGGAACUGCAUAUAUUAAAUUGCUUGCCCUUUGAAACUCUUGUCAGUAUGCCGGCAGUGUUUCUCGAUAACGCGAUCCGUCAAUUACUAGUGCACGACAAUAGUGUUGGAAGAAACGAACGGCCAGUAUGUUUAUCAGUAGUGGUACUAUGUAUGCGAUGCAAUUGCCCAAGUCAGAAACGCCGCAGACUCGCUGCCAAUUAUUCAAUGGCGUCAAGGAUAUUAUAUUUGAGCUAUGCCUCCACUUGCAGAAAAUACAAUAGAUCUAGUGAUAGAACUGGAUGACAGUUUUAUCGACGUUCUGCAUGUGCCUUCUUUAGUAGCAUUAUUCCUUUUAUGGUAAUAAAACUAAAGAUCUUUCAUCAACGUUCAAUUGUUAAAGUAUAGAAAAAUAAAUUAAGAUAAGUUAAGAUUCUGAAUAUAAUUUACUCGAAGUGUAAAAACAGAAAUCGACAAGAAUUGUGUGUUGGAUGAAUUUGCAAAAUCUUGUGUUGUCAUACAAGAUUCUUGUCCUUGAUAUCCCAUCUAACUUCUUUUAAAUUUUUGAGUUUUUUUCGCCUCAAAGACAUAUUGUGCGACUAACGUAAUUCGCAGCAUACAACUACAUAAUAUUAUGUAACAAUACUGUUACAAUGUUAUAUAAUUUAAAUACACCUUAUAAUUGUAU